CGCGUAGGCGGUUCGUUAAGUUAGAUGUGAAAACUCUGGGCUCAACCCAGAGCCUGCAUCUAAUACUGACGGGCUAGAGUUCUGGAGGGGGUAGCGGAAUUCCUGGUGUAGCGGUGAAAUGCGUAGAUAUCAGGAGGAACACCGGUGGCGAAGGCGGCUACCUGGACAGAAACUGACGCUGAGGCGCGAAAGCUAGGGGAGCAAACA
rnacentral:rRNA from 1 species